rnacentral:rRNA from 1 species
UACGUAGGGGGCAAGCGUUGUCCGGAAUCAUUGGGCGUAAAGCGCGCGUAGGCGGCCAGAUAAGUCCGGUGUGAAAGCCACAGGCUCAACCUGUGAAUGCCGCUGGAAACUGUCUGGCUUGAGUCCGGAAGGGGAGAGUGGAAUUCCUGGUGUAGCGGUGAAAUGCGCAGAUAUCAGGAGGAACACCAAUGGCGAAGGCAGCUCGCUGGAACGGUACUGACGCUGAGGCGCGAAAGCGUGGGGAGCGAACAGG